AGUUGGUCCGAAGGUUGUGGGUUAUUGUUAAACUGUUUAGGAAAGUUAAGGCACACACCCAUGUCAAAACCAACAUUUUCUCCAUAUAGUUUGUUUGGACAUCAAAUUAGCUAUAUCUUCGUCUCAAAAUAUUCUGUCCCCCAACCCACUGCCAUUCUUUGGACCGAAUCUAG
rnacentral:sRNA from 1 species